GCCCGGGUAGCUCAAUUGGCUAGAGCGUCGGACUUUUACUCUAAUCUCAUGGAUCAAAGUCCAAUCCGAAGGCUGGGGGUUCGAGACCCCCCUCGGGCG